UACAGCCAUAUCACAAUGAAACAAUAGUUCUUGUACGAUCACUGAAGUUAAGCAACAUCGAGCCUGGUCAGUACCUAGAUGAGUGACCACAUGAGAAUACCAUGUGCU